UAGAUGAUGGCUGUUUCCGCCCUCUUGUGAGUAGGGAUUGUCCGAGGGGGUUUUGAAGUCCUCCU